rnacentral:lncRNA from 1 species
UUGCCUUCACAUGGCUUAAAAACUGAACAACAAAGAAGCUGAUAUUGUCAAAAACAAACCACACCAAGAACAUAAAUCUUCAUAGUGAAGAAGCACAUUAACAACGUUGUUGAAAGAUUUCUUGAUAGACAUCAGAUCUUUCCCUGCAACAAAACCUCAUUUAAGUGCUUUUCAUGGAAACCAGAACAUUAACCUAUUUUGUCAUGUAUUCAAAAGCAAUAACGGUUGUUUGAAUCAAUCUUGAAUAUAGCUUCGCACAUAACUGUCAUCGAUUAUCUUGGUGGACCAUCUCCAUUAGUGUUGUCUCGAGUUCCUCGGAUCUGGAAAAAAACAAACACCACAAAUAUUUAAUGGGUUUUCCCACUCCCCCAUAAAUAAAUAAGGCCAUUAAGCAAUAUAUAUAAUUAUUUUGAGAGUAAAUCCUUCUUUUGAAACUUGUUCCCGCUACCGAUUAUAAUUAAUAUUGACCAAAGAAUCAAUAGCUAGAGUUGAAAAGGAUAAGUCAAAAUAAAAGGAGAAACUGGAGUUCCAUUAAUGUUGUUGUUGCUCCCAUCAGAUGGUUCCCUCUACAUGCUACUACGCGUGCACCAACACAAAUACUGAGGAAUCGGUCCAUCAUCCCCAAUAACUCAGGUGUGAUUUGUGACCGCAUCCAGCGUAAUCCUCUGAGCUAGAUCUUAACAGGACAAUUUUCAAGUCAAAAUAGGAUAUAUAAUGGAUAAAAAUAAAAGGAAACAUUCUUACCCAGUAGAGGAUCUUGCAAAGUCUACACCCUAGCUGAAAGGCCAAUGUUGACAACAAAACCAACCCAUAAAUUAAAUCAACAGCAAAGACUUAAUGAAAUAAAAAUAACAGUAUUAAUAGCAAAACCAACUCAGAAAAGUCAGAACAUGGCUUAAUAGUAAGAAACUAAUUGAGAAGAAAAAUCAUGGCUAAAAAACAAAUCUAAAGCAUUAAAACAAUAACAGAGAGAGAUAAGUUUGAUUUAUCUCUAGAUAGAUUGGAGCUACUGUGUCUGUGGUGGUAGACGAUGGAGAGAGAUUGUUCGUGUGAGUGAUCUAGUGGUGGAACUAGAAGAUCGAGAUAGAACGAGAAAAGGGAUGUGUGAUCAGGACUGAGUAAGGGCUUAAUUUCAGGGUUUCCUUGUAUACAUGUUAGCAUUUUAUAGGAGGGUUUAAUGUUGGUUAAACUCAUUCAGUUCGGUUCAAUUGAUUUCAAUUACCAAUUUUUUUAUGGGGUUUUUAAUCA